rnacentral:rRNA from 1 species
CCUACGGGAGGCAGCAGUGGGGAAUAUUGCACAAUGGGGGGAACCCUGAUGCAGCGACGCCGCGUGGGUGAAGGAGUAUUUCGGUAUGUAAAGCCCUAUCAGCAGGGAAGAACAAUGACGGUACCUGACUAAGAAGCACCGGCUAAAUACGUGCCAGCAGCCGCGGUAAUACGUAUGGUGCGAGCGUUAACCGGAUUUACUGGGAGUAAAGGGAGCGCAGGCGGCGCGUUAAGCCUGGUGUGAAAGCCCGGGGCCCAACCGCGGGACUGCAGAGGGGACUGGCAGGCUGGAGUGCCGGAGGGGUGGGUGGAAGUCCGGGGGGAGCGGUGAAAUGCGGAGAGAUCAGGAGGAACACCGGUGGCGAAGGCGGCCGACUGGACGAAGACUGACGCUGAGGUGCGAAAGCGUGGAGAGCAAACAGGAUUAGAUACCCGUGUAGUC